UACGUAGGGUGCGAGCGUUGUCCGGAAUUAUUGGGCGUAAAGAGCUCGUAGGCGGUUUGUCGCGUCUGCUGUGAAAACCCGAGGCUCAACCUCGGGCCUGCAGUGGGUACGGGCAGACUAGAGUGCGGUAGGGGAGAUUGGAAUUCCUGGUGUAGCGGUGGAAUGCGCAGAUGUCAGGAGGAACACCAAUGGCGAAGGCAGAUCUCUGGGCCGUAACUGACGCUGAGGAGCGAAAGCAUGGGGAGCGAACAGG
rnacentral:rRNA from 1 species